rnacentral:lncRNA from 13 species
AGCAGUCACAUUAGAUUCUCAUAGAAGUGUGAAUCCUACUGUGAACUGUGCAUGGGAGGGAUCUAGGUUGUGCACUCCUUAUGAGAAUCUAAUGCCCGAUAAUCUGUCACCCUCUCCCAUUAUCCCCAGAUGAGACCAUCUAGUUGCAAAAAAACAAGCUCAGGACUCCCACCCAUUCAACAUUAUGCCAUGUGAAGAAGAAAUGUGCUUCCCCUUCGCCUUCUGCCAUGAUUGUAAGUUUCCUGAGGCCUCCACAGCCUUGCUUCCUGUACAGCCUGCAGAAUGUGAGUCAAUUAAACCUCUUUUCUUCCUAAAUUACCC